rnacentral:rRNA from 1 species
UACGUAGGGUGCAGGCGUUAAUCGGAAUUACUGGGCGUAAAGCGUGCGCAGGCGGUCUUUUAAGUCAGAUGUGAAAUCCCCGGGCUUAACCUGGGAACUGCGUUUGAAACUGGAAGGCUAGAGUGUGGCAGAGGGGGGUGGAAUUCCACGUGUAGCAGUGAAAUGCGUAGAUAUGUGGAGGAAUACCGAUGGCGAAGGCAGCCCCCUGGGAUAACACUGACGCUCAUGCACGAAAGCGUGGGGAGCAAACAGG